UCUAGAAUAUUUUAAAAAAUGUUGAAAAAUUGUCAUUUUAGCUGUUUCCUAAUGUGCAUAUAAUAAUUACCUGAUAAGGUGUUUUCUUCAGUGCUAUUAGUUUAUUUCAACAAGGUAUUUGAAGAGCCUCAGACAUUUUUCCCUUUGUUGACUCAUUAGCACCAAAGUGCCAUUUCUAAAAGGUUGUUUAUAAAAUCCCAAGAAAAACAGAAUUUGUUAUCUGCAGACAUUGAAAAGAGAUAAUUAAGAGGGGUUGUGAAUAUGUCAAAGUACUUUUUUUUCUUUUUUUUUUUUUUGGUGGCUAUGAGAGAUCAUAAAAAAAAUUGGAAUAUGGCUAGAAAGAAGCAAAUGAUUUUUGGAUAAGAGAUGAGAAGAUGCACACUAGCAAAAUCAAAGCAUGGUCAAAGCUGCUGAAACAAACAAACAAAAAACACUUCAAAGAAAAUGUCAGAAGCCUAUUCAGACACUCCAUUGGCUUACUGGGGAAAAUGCAAAUAUUUCAAAAUAGCACUGACCCAUUUAGUGUCUGUGAUAUAUCACUGUUCAUCUUUUUGAACUUACAGUAAAUGCUGUUAUGCUGUUCAGGAACGGCUCAGGACCACUGAGGAAAAAAGCUUUUCAACUCUUACAAAGGCUUCUAACAUGUAACAUGCCCAAUUCAUCUCCAGUGGAAGAUUUGAGAAUGACUUCAAAGGAAACAAGGACCUCAAAUUGAGAUGCUUCUCUGAACACAGUCAUGAAUGACCUGUAUGUUAAAGCCUCUCUGUAUGCCUCAACUUUUUUGGAAGAACUUGCCUUUUGUUGCUGUUGCAAUCUAACCAGGUGAAUCCAAGUCAUUCAGUCAUGAAAUAAAACUAACUUUGUUAUGCUCUCUGCCCUCAGAUGACAUCCAACAAGGACAAAUCAAAUGUUGUUGCAACACUAAUGCCUGUGCAUUUUUCUGCUGAUCUUAAGACCACAAAAUAAUUGCUACUCAGUGACUAUUCAAGGCUUACCUUCACAAUGACUGUAUAAAGGUCACAUUGACCAUACAUUUAAUUUGUUCUGGCAGGAACCUUGCACAGGCAUUCAAAGACUGACUCACACAGAAAGUGCAAAAAGAAAUCUGUGAGGAACUGGGAGAUUCCACCAAUGGAGGUAACAGAAGACCGACCUUCUGAAGGAAGAUAAGAGCAGUGAUAGAAGAAGAGGAGACACUGCUCCAGGACAUCACAAGCCAGCACCAACAGGCUAUAGACAAUUGAAUAGAAUGGCCUCCAACUGGUGGUUGUUUUGGUAUGCAGUAAAAACACAUAUAAUGAUAUGUGUUGAAACAUU